rnacentral:rRNA from 1 species
CUUCGGUGUCCGAGUUGUAAUCUCUAGAAAUGUUUUCCGCGUUGGACCGCACACAAGUCUGUUGGAAUACAGCGGCAUAGUGGUGAGACCCCCGUAUAUGGUGCGGACGCCCAGCGCUUUGUGAUACAUUUUCGAAGAGUCGAGUUGUUUGGGAAUGCAGCUCAAAUUGGGUGGUAAAUUCCAUCUAAAGCUAAAUAUUGGCGAGAGACCGAUAGCGAACAAGUACCGUGAGGGAAAGAUGAAAAGCACUUUGGAAAGAGAGUUAACAGUACGUGAAAUUGUUGGAAGGGAAACGCUUGAAGUCAGACUUGCUUGCCGAGCAAUCGGUUUGCAGGCCAGCAUCAGUUUUCCGGGAUGGAUAAUGGUAGAGAGAAGGUAGCAGUUUC